GCUCGUAGUUGGAUUUUGGGCGCAGGCGGCCGGUCCGUCGCAAGGCGUGUACUGGCCGUCCUGGCCUCACCUCCGGUUCUCCGCCGGUGCCCUUGACUGAGUGUCGGCGGCGGCCGGAACGUUUACUUUGAAAAAAUUAGAGUGUUCAAAGCAGGCGAUUCGCCUGAAUAAUGGUGCAUGGAAUAAUGGAAUAGGACCUCGGUUCUAUUUUGUUGGUUUUCGGAGCGCGAGGUAAUGAUUAAGAGGGACAGACGGGGGCAUUCGUACUGUGCCGUUAGAGGUGAAAUUCUUGGAUCGGCGCAAGACGAACGACUGCGAAAGCAUUUGCCAAGAAUGUUUUCUUUAAUCAAGAGCGAAAGUCAGAGGUUCGAAGACGAUCAGAUACCGUCCUAGUUCUGACUAUAAACGAUGCCAACUAGCGAUCGGGGGGCGUUAGUUUUACGACCUCUCCGGCAGCUUGCGGGAAACCAAAGUCUUUGGGUUCCGGGGGAAGUAUGGUUGCAAAGCUGAAACUUAAAGGAAUUGACGGAAGGGCACCACCAGGAGUGGAGCCUGCGGCUUAAUUUGACUCAACACGGGAAAUCUCACCCGGCCCGGACACAGUGAGGAUUGACAGAUUGAGAGCUCUUUCUUGAUUCUGUGGGUGGUGGUGCAUGGCCGUUCUUAGUUGGUGGAGCGAUUUGUCUGGUUAAUUCCGAUAACGAACGAGACUCUGGCUUGCUAACUAGUUACGCGACCCAAUCGGUCGGCGUCUAACUUCUUAGAGGGACUAGUGGCGUUUAGCCACACGAGAUUGAGCAAUAACAGGUCUGUGAUGCCCUUAGAUGUUCGGGGCCGCACGCGCGCUACACUGACCGGAUCAGCAUGUGCUCGCCUUGGCCGACAGGUCUGGGUAACCCGCUGAACCCCGGUCGUGCUAGGGAUAGGGAAUUGCAAUUAUUUCCCUGAACGAGG
rnacentral:rRNA from 1 species